GUGAUCAUCGAAUCUUUGAACGCACCUUGCGCUCCUUGGUAUUCCGAGGAGCAUGCCUGCUUGAGUGUCAUUAAUAUAUCAACUUUUGCUUGUCAAGUGUUGGAUGUGGGGGUUUGCUGGGUCUCUUUAAUUGAGGUCAGCUCCCCUGAAAUGCAUUAGCGGAACAAUUUGUUGACUGUUCAUUGGUGUGAUAAACUAUCUACACUAUUGACGAAAGGCAGUUCAGCUUCUAACAAACCAUUUUUAUUAAUGUGACCUCAAAUCAGGUAGGAUUACCCGCUGAACUUAAGCAUAUCAAUAAGCGGAGG
rnacentral:rRNA from 1 species